rnacentral:rRNA from 1 species
UACGAAGGGGGCUAGCGUUGCUCGGAAUCACUGGGCGUAAAGGGUGCGUAGGCGGGUCUUUAAGUCAGGGGUGAAAUCCUGGAGCUCAACUCCAGAACUGCCUUUGAUACUGGGGAUCUCGAGUCCGGAAGAGGUGAGUGGAACUCCGAGUGUAGAGGUGAAAUUCGUAGAUAUUCGCAAGAACACCAGUGGCGAAGGCGGCUCACUGGCCCGGUAUUGACGCUGAGGCGCGAAAGCUAGGGGAGCAAACGGG